rnacentral:lncRNA from 1 species
GUAACUAUACCAGCCACUGUGCUGAACGUUAGAGGCACUUAUCUUUACUUCUCAAAGUGUCCUGUGAAGUUGAAGCUAUUAAAGGUCCAGAAAAUCAGAACACAAACUAUAGUGUUUUGGAGUGUUGAAUAUUUUAAUUAAUUUCAAUAUUUCACUGUCCCUAUCCUUGUUUCUCACCCUUUCCUUCCCUUGAGGCUCAGGAGGGAGGCAUUGUUAAUUCUUCCUGUUUGACUACAGGCCAGAUCUUCUAGAAGGGAUGCCUUUGUACACAUAAGAUGCACACCUUCUGUGAUGCUAAUCUACGUACUGCUGGUUCGGUCUAAUAACUCAGCUAUCAAAUCCACAGCGACGGGAGGGGAAGUUCUUAUCGGUCCUACAAAGCUACAGUUGGCUCCAUUUCACAGAUGAGGAAUUUGGGCCGUGGAGAAAUGGCUCAGCCAGGCAUCACAGGGUUUCAAAAUGUCAGUCUGAUGAGAAAACACCAGAACUACCAUGGAGAAUGAUAAAUGGAAGAGUAAGCAGCAGAAAAACAACCAAGAACUACACGGCUCAUCAGCUGGGAAUUCCCCAGAGUUUGGCAAUGCUGUGUUUCCUGCCUUAGAAUUUGUGACCCCCGGUUGACCUUUGUAUCAUUUACAUAGAGGGGCUUCUCUGAAAGAAGAACCACAUGCACACUUAAUAAAAAACGGGUGGGGACUCA